AUUGAACGCUGGCGGCAGGCCUAACACAUGCAAGUCGAACGAGUGGCGGACGGGUGAGUAAUGUCUGGGAAACUGCCCGAUGGAGGGGGAUAACUACUGGAAACGGUAGCUAAUACCGCAUACCAUCGGAUGUGCCCAUGUGGGAUUAGCUAGUAGGUGGGGUAACGGCUCACCUAGGCUACGAUCCCUAGCUGGCCUGCGAGGGUGACCCGCCACACGGGAACGUAGACACGGUCCAGACUCCGACGGGAGGCAGCAGUGGGGAAUAUUGCACAAUGGGCGAAAGCCUGAUGCAGCCAUGCCGCGUGUAUGAAGAAGGCCUUCGGGUUGUAAAGUACUUUCAGCGAGGAGGCGUUACUCGCAGAAGAAGCACCGGCUAACUCCGUGCCAGCAGCCGCGGUAAUAC
rnacentral:rRNA from 1 species